GCGGGGUUGGUGUAGUGGUCAUCACGUCUGCUUUACACGCAGAAGGUCGCGGGUUCGAGCCCCGCACCCCGUA
rfam:Cyclospora cayetanensis strain CHN_HEN01 contig_903, whole genome shotgun sequence.